UUGCAGCUUGUUCAUCAGGGUUCACUGAAUUAUAUUAGUUCCCAGGUGCAGCAACAACAUUUGGUUAUUCCUUCAAUGCAAAGCCAUGAAUAGAUGCUUCAACGAAUCUCAAAUUUUCACU